UCUGAUGUUUAACAUAGUUUUUAAAUACUUCCCGCACUAUAUUUUCAUCCUAAAAUGUUCAAGUCCACUGUAAGUCAUCAAGGGUAAUCAUAAAUCAACACUCGUGCCAACUAUUGUAUAAAGCAUGAGUAUUUAGUUUUCCUGUUAUCUUUUUUUAGCCUCAUCCACAGAAACAGAGAAAAUUGUUGUACAAGAGAUUUCUCUGUACAUCUUCAGUUCCAAGAACAUCCCUGUACAGAAGAAAAAUUACUGAAAAGAUUUGUUUUACAGAUCAUGGUAAUGCAGAUUACCAACAAGUGGAUAGGGAGAAACAGCAGGACAGAGAGGACAAUGGUGGAAGUGGACAAGAGGACAGAGAGGAAGAGGAUGCAAGUGGACAGGAGGACAGAGAGGAAGAGGAUGCAAGUGGACAGGAGGACAGAGAGGAAGAGGAUGCAAGUGGACAAGAGGACAGAGCAGAAGAGAGGAACAAAGCUGGAAAUCCAGACUCAGACCCAUUGAUGAAACAGCAUGAUGACGAUCCUGUAUACCCCGGUGCUCCCCUCACAAAAGGGCAGAGUCUACUCUUACUCAUGUCAUAUGUACUGAGGCACAAUUUGACGGGAGUAGCUCUACAGGAUCUUCUUACAAUGUUUAAUGAACAUUUCCCUGGCUUGGUGCCAGCAACCUCUUAUCUUUUUCAUAAAGCGUAUGGACAGUUUGGCCAGUAUGUGCCACAUUUUUAUUGUAUCAACUGUGAAACCUACAUGGGACCCCGUGAGACAGCUCCAGAAAAAUGUUCUUCUUGUAAUGCUGAUUUUGACAUUGACAGAAACUUAAGGAUUGGGUCUUACUUUCUUGUACUGAGUUUAUCAACCCAAAUUGUAGACAUUGUGGAAAAAUCUGGAAUAUAUUUAAAUGAAAGAGAAUCUAUUCCAGGCAUUGUUUCAGAUAUUCAGAGUAGGGCUGAAUACGAAACACUCUAACAGAGCGGACAAAUAGGGGCUGAUGACAUAUCAGUUAUGUGGAAUUGUGAUGGAAUUCUAGUUUUCAACAGCAAUAAUUUUCAGAUAUGGCCAAUUCAGUACCAAAUCAUAGAGCUGUCACCAAAAGAGCGUCAAGCCAACAUAUGUAUACCAUGCUUGUGGUUUGGUAAAAAGCAAGCCCAAUAUGAUCACAUUUUUAACACCUUUUGUGUCAGAGCUCAAGGAACUGGAACAGACUGGAAUUAAAUGGAUGGACUCUGAAAAUGUAGAGCAUACAAGUAAAGUUCAUUUACUCCUGUGCUCCUCAGAUUCAGUUGCCCGCCCCCUCCUGAGAAACACAAAACAGUUCAAUGGCAAAUAUGGGUGUGACUUCUGCCUUCACACUGGUGGUGGUCCCUAUGUCUGGGAAACCCCAGAACCACCUUUAAGAACAGAGAUAGAUAAUUUUCGGCAUGCUAUGUUGGCAAUACCUGCGAAUACAGUAAUGGGUGUGAAAGGCCCAUCCCCUUUGAUGGAACUUGAGAGCUUCAAGAGGAUCACCGGAUUCAUUCCUGAGUACCAACAUAGUGUCUGCCUGGGUGUCACUAAGCAGAUUACAUCUCUGUGGCUCGACAGUAAGCACCAUAAUGAAGACUGGUACUUAGGCAGCAAGGUUAGUGAUAUAGAUCAGGAAUUGCUGGUCAUUAACUCACCUGUGGAGGUGACAAGGGCACCAAGGACCGUGAAGGAUAGAAAAUUCUGGAAAGCAUCUGAGUGGAGGUCAUUUUUGUUGUUUUAUGCGUUGCCUGUUUUGAAUGGCAAUCUGAAAAAGAAGUACUGGAAUCACCUUUUUUAUUGGUUUUUGCAGUGCACACUCUUCUUCAGGAUGCCAUCAAAGUAAGACAUGUGGAUGUGGCAGAACAAGCUCUGCGAAAGUUUGUCCUUAACUUUGAGAAACUUUAUGGAGCUGCUAAUGCUUCUUGAAAACAAUGGCAAAUGCUGAUGACAGCAUAAAUACAUUAUUCGGCAAAAUUCAAAGUACCUCUGGUUUAAGAAAAAAAUCAAGAGUUUCAGCGUGUCUGAGGUUUGGGCUGGCCAAAGAAAGGCAGCACAUCUGUGUUGCAGAGGAUGGCUAUUGAUUAAGUUUUAUAGGAGUGACAGUCCAUUAAGGUUUAUUUUAUGACCGUUUCAUUUGUCGCAGCAUAGUUUAUCAUUCAUAUAACAACACCACUCUUAAAAAGAGAAACAAUUCAGUUGUACAGUUAAAUGAUGGAACAUUCUGUGAAUUUAUGACCCUAGUGGCCUUUACAUCUGAUGGGGCCUCAUCCACAUCCACCAAGUUCUGUAUUUUAGUAAAAGAGCUUACCAAGAAUGGAGGAAGGGUUUGUAGUGAUAUUCAGUUAAAUAUAUCUUCCACAUUUCUAAAUGAGGUGUCUCACAUGAAUAAUGUUUUUGCCGUGCAUCCCCAUUCCCUCAAACGUAAAUGUGUAUUGGUUAAGUCCAAGGAAAAAAUGUAUGUCAUUCCCCUUUCAAACACUGUUGAAAGGGAUUAAAACUUUGGGUGAACUACUACUUUGCAGGCACCAGUGCCAAACCAACCUCCACAUAUCAGUCCUAUAUGCAUCAAGUGCUGUCAGUAACUUUCUGAUCUGUACAAACAUUCUCCAAUUGUUCUGUUGCCCAGCUUUUUCUCCACUAGACAAUACUAAUGAAAUAUUCUUUUUUGAAGACAAAGUGUGAGCAAACAUUAUAUUUUGUCUGUAAAUAAUUCAGUAUUAACUGUUGUAAUGUAGGUGAUGCCAUCUGUGAAAUCACAAUGUAGCACUCUACCAACUCCGCCACUUGCUUUAUAGCACAACAGUUACAUAUUUGUGCACUAGCACUUUUGAAGUGUGCAUGUUUGUGUUUAAUUUUGUGUUGUGUCUAUGAUGUAUCAUAUCAUGUUUUUUUUUUUUUUUUUUGCAAAACACAUUAAAAAUCAUAGAACAAUGACAAGGAUUGCUAUGAGUGCGUUUUACAUACAGCACAAAAUUUCUUACAUUCUUCUUACAUUCUUGCAUUUUCCAAAAGAUUGUCCUGAAGUACAGUACAGUACAGUAAGUAAAUAACUUCACUUUAUCAUUGUGACACUCAAACUUAAUAUUACAGUGUUGAUAUUAAAGUGUGCACUUUUAAAGUAUGCUCUCAGUGAAUAUUACAAUAACAAUUUUGAGCAUACGUUUAAAAAAUAUGUCAAAAAAUAUAUGUAAACAGUAAUUUCAAAAAGUACAUUUUAGAAAAGACACAUAACUUAUACAUAAAAUGUACUGUUAUAUAAUAUAUUUAUAUCAAGUGUAAUAUAGUAUAACUUUUUUAUAGUGUGUUAAAAGUAUAAGCAUGAUUGUGUGAUAUUAGUAUACUUUUUAUAUAUUAAAAAAAGUACA